UACAGAGGGUGCGAGCGUUAAUCGGAAUUACUGGGCGUAAAGCGUGCGUAGACGGUUAUUUAAGUCGGGUGUGAAAGCCCCGGGCUCAACCUGGGAAUUGCAUUCGAGACUGAAUAGCUAGGGUACGGUAGAGGGAAGUGGAAUUUCCGGUGUAGCGGUGAAAUGCGUAGAUAUCGGAAGGAACAUCAGUGGCGAAAGCGGGUCUCUGGGCCGUAACUGACGCUGAGGAGCGAAAGCGUGGGGAGCGAACAGG
rnacentral:rRNA from 1 species